GGUCAAACCAAGUUACUGACUGCUGUGAUAUUUGAUACCAUGUCGGCCACCGUAGAGGAGGAUAAACAUCAAUGAUUACGUUGGGAGUGCCCGGUAGUUUUCUACAUAAUUUGUUCCUAGAAAGAUUGAUAAUCAUCAAUCCCGAAGACUUUGAUAGAGGCAUCCUAGCCCAAUAGAGGAAGAUGAGGCUGAAAGAGAUCCAGAGGACAGCUCAUCCAGCAUGGAGUCCUGCCCCCCACCACCCUAUCUGCCUGGCUUUAGGCACGUCAGCUCAGCAGCUGGAUGCGUCAUUCAACACCACUGCCGCCUUGGAAAUAUUCCAGGUGGAUUUUGCCGAUCCUUCCCUGGACAUGAAGCUCAAGGGGUCCCUACCUACUUCUAACAGGCUGCAUAGUCUGGUGUGGGUAAACUUUGGAGCAGGAGAAGACGGUUUGGGAGGGAGACUGAUUGGAGGCAGUGAUAAUGGCAUGGUAACAGUGUAUAGCCCAGAAGCCAUUGUAACAUCAGGGGCAGAGGCAAUAAUAGGACAGUCUGACAAACACACUGGGCCUGUCAGAGCACUAGACUUCAACCCCUUUAAGAGUAAUCUGUUGGCGUCAGGGGCAAACGAUUCAGAGAUCUAUAUCUGGGAUCUGAACAAUUUCAGCAAUCCAAUGACACCCGGGACAAAGUCACAGCUUUGUGAGCCUCCUGAAGAUAUCAGUGUAGUGUCGUGGAACAGGCAGGUCCAACACAUCCUGGCCUCUGCAAACCCCAGUGGGAAAGCAGUGGUCUGGGACCUGAGGAAGAACGAGCCCAUCAUCAAGAUUAGUGACCACAGCAACCGGAUGCACUGUUCAGGGAUGCUCUGGCACCCUGAGGUGGCCACACAGUUAGUCCUGGCCUCAGAAGAUGACCGCAUGCCAGUCAUUCAGAUGUGGGACCUGCGCUUUGCCACGUCCCCUCUCAAAGUCCUGGAGAACCACACAAGGGGACUUCUGUCCAUAGCGUGGAGCCAAGCAGACCCAGAGCUGUUGCUCAGUAGUGCUAAAGACAACAGGAUUCUCUGCUGGAACCCCAACACUGGAGAGGUGAUAUAUGAAUUACCAACCACCAACCAGUGGUGCUUUGACAUCCAGUGGUGUCCCAGGAACCCAGCGCUGCUGUCGGCGGCCUCGUUUGACGGGUGGAUCAGUGUUUACAGCGUGAUGGGAGGAAGCCUGGAGGCCCAGCAGCAGAGCAGGGCUGAUCAGAUUGGAAUGCAGUCUUUGUGUGGUACUUUCCCACAGAUCUCCUCGUCCUUUGACACCAUGGAUCCGUUUGGGACAGGCCAGGUGCUGCCCCCUCUGCAAGUUCCUCAACCCACCCCUCAGACCACCCUCGUCGCUCCGCUGAAGAAGCCCCCCAAGUGGGUUCGUAGGCCCGUAGGAGCCUCAUUUGCUUUUGGUGGGAAGCUGAUCACCUUUGAGAGUCCUAAGGCUCCAGUCCAGAGCCCACAGGCCGUCCCUCUCCCCAGGCAGGUGUUUGUGAGCCAAGUCACCACGGAAACAGAGCUCCUCCAACGUUCCAGAGAGCUGCAGGCUGCUCUGCAAUCUGGAUCCUUGUCAGACUACUGCCAGGCCAAGAUCCACAAGGCCCCCACAGACUCUGAACAGGACAUAUGGAGGUUUCUCCUGGUCAACUUCGAAGAUGAAGCCCGGGUCAAAUUCCUGAGACUUUUGGGUUUCAGCAAAGAGGAUUUAGAGAGAAAGAUAUCCACCUGCUUGGGGAAGAACCUGCAGCCUAACGGACAUGGAGUGGAUGCCAACGAUCUGGCUGAGAAGAUACAGCUUCUCUCUACUCAGAGGUCAGAAGAAUCCGGGGAUGCGGUCGACUCCACCAAGACUCCGGGUUCAUCCUCCCCCUCUGACUUUUUCAGUCAGAUCCCAGCACAACCACAGGACAAGGAGAAGAUCAGCUUCCAAAUCCCUGUCUCAGCAGAUGCAGAUGGUCUGAUCAGCCAGGCUCUGCUGGUGGGAAACUUUGAGGGAGCGGUGGAUCUGUGUCUGAAUGACGGGCGUUACGCUGAGGCCAUCCUGCUGGCUAUCAGUGGAGGACAGGAGCUACUGCAGAAGACCCAGCAGACAUACCUGGACAAGCAGAGGAACAGCAUCUCUAUGCUGAUCUCAUCCGUGGUGACCCAGAACUGGGGAGACAUCGUGCAGAGCUGUGACUUGGAUAACUGGAAGGAGGCUCUCGCUGCUCUCCUAACCUACGCUCACCCCAAAGAGUUUGCUCAUCUGUGUGAGACCCUGGGGUCGCGUCUGGAGGGUGAGAGGACAGAGAAACGCUGUCUGCAGGCAUGUCUCUGUUACAUUUGCUCUGGGAACAUUGAGAAACUAGUGGAAUGCUGGGCCCUGCAGAGGGACUGCUCAUCUCCCCUGGUUUUAGAGGACCUGGUAGAGAAGAUGAUGGUUCUGCGUAAGUCUGUGGAGCGUCUGAGGAACAGCGAGGUGGCUGUACAGAGUCCCAUCCUGGCUGACAAGCUGACUCGCUAUGCUGGUCUCCUAGCUUCACAAGGCAGCCUGGCUACAGCCCUGUCCUACCUGCCAGACACCUCAGACCAGGCUUGCAUCAUGAUGAUGAGAGACCGGCUGUUCCACGCCCAGGGAGAGGGAGGAGCAGCAUGGGGUCAACAGCCCCCACCGUUCCCUUACAACAUAGUCAGGGUGACGGGGGGCGACCCUGACCCCGCUCGGGCCCCUGCUGUCCCCGCCCAAGCAAAACCACCAGCACAGACAACACAGACACCGGGGCCCUACCAGCCUCCUCUUCCUGUGAUGCCAGUGGUUGGCCAGCCUCCUCUUCCUGUGAUGCCGGUGGUUGGCCAGCCUCCUCUUCCUGUGAUGCCGGUGGUUGGCCAGCCUCCUAUGACCACAGUCUUCACUCCUCAAGCUGUUACUCACUCCAGAGGACCUCCUCCUCCUUCGUAUGGUGGUCUGCCACCCUCCUCCCAUGCUCCUCCACCUAGUGGGCUGCCACGUACAGGGCUACGGCCAGCCUACCCUCAACAUCCUGCCACUGCCCCAGGGCUCUCUCCAAUCCAGCCAUUCCAGCCACAACAGCAGCCCAUGUCUGCAGGACUAGGUGGCCCCGGCCUCUCUGCCUUCCCUCCAGGACCUACUAUGCCAGGCUCCAGCCUGUCUGGACACCCCCUGCCUCCCUUCUCUGCCCCUGGCAGCCUCGCCACCAUGCCCAGCCCAAGGCUACCUCCGUCAGGCUUCACCCCCACCUCGCUCCCUUCAGGCCCCAUGCCACCCAGCUACCAGCAGCCUGGGGCCCCUGUCGGCAUGUACCCACCAGGGGGGUCUCACCUUCACAGCCAGGGCCCACCUGCAGGUCCCCCCUCUGGUCCGUAUUCACCCCUGGGACCCGGGUACCCACAAGGAGGUCCUGGAGCCCCGGCCGUCAAGUCCUUCUCUGCUCCGUCGGUGGCUCCUCCUCCUACAGGACAAGAUGGCUGGAAUGACCCACCAGCAGUACGAGGGGGGUCCCAGGAAGAAAAAGGUUGUCCCAGACAACUACACCCCUCCUGCUCCCAUCACCGCCCCUGUUAUGGGGGGUUACCCCAUGGAGGACCAUCAUCAGCCCCAAGGACAGCAGGGCCACGACCCCAGCCGUACGCAGCAGUUCCCCCCAGGGGCCCCUCAGGAGCCCAGUGUACAGCUCCUCCAGGCGCUGCCAGCUGAGAGGGUGGAGCAGAGAGAGAUCCCUGCAGAGCACAUGGUCCUCAAGCAGACCUUCGACAGCCUGGUUCAACGCUGCCAGCUAGCCGCACAAGACCCACAAACAAAAAGAAAACUUGACGAUGCAUCGAAACGCCUUGGGUACCUGUAUGACAAGCUGAGAGAGCAAACGCUGUCUAACAACAUCCUGGGUGGUUUACAUGAGAUCAGCCGCUGUGUGGCGGGCAAGAACUACCAGCGUGGCCUGGAGGUCCACACUGCUGUUGUCACCAGCAGCAACUUCAGCGAGAUCCAAGCCUUCAUGCCCAUCCUCAAAGUGGUCAUGACCAUCGCCAACAAGCUGGGCGUCUGACCACUGAUCCCACACCAAGGCUAGCUUCUAGAAUAAACCGUGUUUCCUAUAAUGCUCUACUUCUGACCAGACCCUAUGGGCUCUUUACAGGCCCUGUGGGAUCUGAGGGCCCCGAGGGCCCCAUGAUCUAUUAGGGCUCUAUGAGGGCCCCGAGGGCUCUUGUCAAAAGUAGUGCCCUAUAUAGGGAGUAGAGUGCCAUUUGGAACACUCAAAAACACACCAAGAUAAAACAGCCUUCAGUGUUAUCAUAUGGAUGGAUCACAAUGUUAUAGAUUAGAUAUUUAUUUCUUUUUCAGCUGUUGAAAUGUGCUUUGAUCAAAGACAUGAUUGCAGAUGUGUGGUUUUCGCUUGACUAAAGCCGACUCAUUGAAAGGUUUCUGACUUGGCUGAUGAUGAGAGGUGUUCUCCUCUCUGAGAAGACGAGUUAUUGCUACUGUGGUGGUUAUCAACAGCAAAACAUCCAAUAUUAUUAAAGAAGUUGUGUCCUUCAGCUUUUUGAUGGGAAGAUACCUGAUGUUAAAUAUGUAAGGGGUGGGGGUUACUGAUGUGGGAUGAUGUAAAAUGUAAAUGUUGAGAGCUGAGGAUUUAAAUGUCAUAUGUUUGAGAGUGGAGAAGGAUACACAAUGUCUCUGAACAAUGUGGGCUUGGAUUCUUUGGCUGUCAGUAGUUAUAAACACGGUAACACAUCCAACUAAGGGAAGACUUUGGAGAGCGAGGUUGUUUUGUCCACCUUCCUACCUCAUCUUUCCUUAACAAAACCACACAACGUCCAGCUGAUUUUAGAAUAGUUAGGAAGAGUGAUUGAGUUAUAUACACUUUUGUAAUACAUACUGUACCACAGCGCAGAUAUUGUUACUUUUUCACUGACACGCCAGUGUGUUCUACACGCCAGUGUGUUCUACACGCCAGUGUGUUCUACACACCAGUGUGUUCUACACGCCAGUGUGCCAUCUCUUAGUUUGUUACGUUUUCAGGCCAAAGCACUGCAACAACUAGCUCUGAUCCAGGGUGUUACGUGCAGCUUGUUGACUCAGAGCUGUGUCAGCACCUGCACAUUACGCCCUGGUCCAGAGCGAUGCAACAAAAUAAUGUAAUUUGAUGAUUCUUGUGGAGUUGCUGGAUUUUUACAGUCAGUCCGCGUUAGUCACUAUAGAGCGGCCCGCUGCUGUCAGCUAGCUUGUGUGAUUGAGAUACUGUAUGAGAACGGUGUGUGUCCUGGUUGUUGGCUUUGCCCCCUGUUUAUAGUGUGCUGGCUUCUGUUGUGUAUAAACUGUAAUAACCACACCACUGUAAACAGCUUUGGUGUGGUUACACUUGACAUUUCAUUCUGAUUGAAGAACGUGGCAGUUAUCGACUGAAAUAUGAUUUAUGGCAAAGAAACCCAUGAAUAAAUCUCUUGAAAUAUU